CCUGACCAUGAAAACAACAAGUGAUGGUCGCUCUUCAAUUGUCCAGUCCACGAGUGGUCUCCCCACAAGACUGAUGAAGAUAAGGCAUGGAUGGGUGCAAAAGGAAUAUUUUAAGCUUACAAACACUUGCAAUGGACUUGACAUAAACAAAAUUAUAAGUCUCAUGCACAGAAGAUAUUCAGAUCGUACCCCUAUAUUUGGCGUACCGAGAUAUCCAGAACAUUUGCCUGAAGCGGAACCUAUACUGCCUGGGCAUACGUUGCUGAGACCAACGUUUGGGAUGCUUAAGUCGUCUGCCAAAUUUCCACAUAGAGACCUCGACAGUGUUGUCUAUGGUAAUUUGAAAAACUUGGGGAUAACGAAGAUAUAUUACUGCAAGUGUUAAGGAAUAUUAAAAGAAACAAUAACGAUGAUAGUGACUCACCUGUGACAGUAAUAGAAAUAGAACCUGCAAUUAAUAAUGAAAGUACAGCAGAAUCAACUGAACUUGUACCGGUAAGCAUGACAUUAUUUAUUUUUAUUAUUAGUGAUCCA
rnacentral:misc_RNA from 1 species